rnacentral:rRNA from 1 species
UACGUAGGGUGCAAGCGUUAAUCGGAAUUACUGGGCGUAAAGCGUGCGCAGGCGGCGGCUCAAGUCAGGUGUGAAAUCCCCGGGCUUAACCUGGGAAUUGCGCUUGAAACUAGGCUGCUUGAGUGUGGCAGAGGAAGGUGGAAUUCCACGUGUAGCGGUGAAAUGCGUAGAGAAUGUGGAGGAACACCGAUGGCGAAGGCAGCCUUCUGGGCCAACACUGACGCUCAU